rnacentral:rRNA from 1 species
AUUGAACGCUGGCGGCAUGCCUUACACAUGCAAGUCGAACGGCAGCACGGGGCAACCUGGUGGCGAGUGGCGAACGGGUGAGUAAUGCAUCGGAACGUGCCAUUGAGUGGGGGAUAACGUAGCGAAAGUUGCGCUAAUACCGCAUAUUCUGUGAGCAGGAAAGCAGGGGACCGCAAGGCCUUGCGCUCUUUGAGCGGCCGAUGUCAGAUUAGCUAGUUGGUGAGGUAACGGCUUACCAAGGCGACGAUCUGUAGCGGGUCUGAGAGGAUGAUCCGCCACACUGGAACUGAGACACGGUCCAGACUCCUACGGGAGGCAGCAGUGGGGAAUUUUGGACAAUGGGCGCAAGCCUGAUCCAGCCAUGCCGCGUGAGUGAAGAAGGCCUUCGGUU